rnacentral:lncRNA from 1 species
CACAAACAAAAUUACAUCAGACAGAGUUCAGGCCUCGGAGAAUUUUCAUGAGUACCUAUUAGCAGCUGAGUAUUCCUCUGGUUGAAUACUUGCCUGUUUUCCACCCAAAGCUUCAGGCAUCCUUACUUAGUAUUUUCAUGGGAUUACUGGGAUAGUGUGCUACUGAACUCCCUGAGAGCUUUGGCAAUGCCUUGUUGGAGAUGAGAUCAAUUAUCAGUGUCUAUUCAUGCUUGUGAAAAAUGGACAUUUGUAACUGCAAAAGCUUCUCAUUCCUCGGAAACUGCAUGCCCUCUAUCUCUCUAAGUAGCAAAAUCACAGAUUUUUAUUUGUUAUCAACUCUAAAACUAGGUCAUCUGAGUCAGUGGUUUAAUAACUGGUCACGAUAAGGACAUAGUGGUUUCCCCUCUUAAAUCAUUGGUUCAAAUCAGUACUCAGACGAUCAUUGUUGCUUACCUUUCUUGCCAUCUGGUUCAUUGGCUGUUAUCAGCUGAAAGGAACUGGUCCAGGACCCAGAGAAGAAGUGCUCCUAUCAAUAGAAAGUUCCAUCACGAUGGGGAUUUGUCCUGGGCACUUGACAAAGGCACAAGAAACCCAUAAAAUGAACGGCAGGUACUGAUGCAGAAGCUUCCACCCAGGAUCCAGGUUGCUUUCGGAAAAGAGAAAGGAGGGGUGGUAGAGGGGGAUGGCAUUCCCAGAUCUCCGCGAGGAAUUCUUCCUUGAGAUUCGUCAGUUUCCCCCAGAGACUUCCCCACAUGAAUGGGGCAUGGAGCUCGAUUUCUAUUGAACUACGUUACCCUGGAUUCUACAAAACUGGGAUUGUUGAACAUUGUGGGACAUUCGUGUCAGGCGUCACAGUCUGAAGAGAUCAGGGGCCGCACCAGGAGUGUGUUACGGCCCGCGCCUUUUUUGUUGUUGUUGGCUUGGCCAUUGCUUGCCGCCCAGUAUCGAAUUCUAUUGAAGACACGCCUAAAGUUCUUUCUCUGGAAGUGGAGAGCAUCCUUUGUCAUAAGUCCCUCAGAAAAGUCUUGGAUCACUAUAUUGUAUGGCAACGUCCUGUAGUCUUGGCUGCAAAUGG